rnacentral:rRNA from 1 species
AGUUUGAUUAUGGCUCAGAUUGAACGCUGGCGGAUGCUUUACACGUGUCGAACGGCAGCACGGACUUCGGUCUGGUGGCGAGUGGCGAACGGGUGAGUAAUGUAUCGGAACGUGCCUAGUAGGGGGAUAACUACGCGAAAGUAGUAGCUAAUACCGCAUAAUACCCUUCGGGGGAAAGCGGGGGACCUUCGGGCCUCGCACUAUUAGAGCGGCCGAUAUCGGAUUAGCUAGUUGGUAAGUAACGCUCACCAAGGCGACGAUCCGUAGCUGGUUUGAGGACGACCAGCCACACUGGGACUGGAGACAUGGCCCAGACUCCUACGGAGGCAGCAGUGGGGAAUUUUGACAAUGGGGAAACUCCCUGAUCCAGCCAUCCCGCGUGUGCGAUGAAGGCCUUCGGGUUGUAAAGCACUUUUGGCAGGGAAAGAAACGGCACGGGAUAAUACCCCGUGCAACUGACGGUACCUGCAGAAUAAGCACCGCCAACUACGUGCCAGCAGCCGCGGUAAUACGUAGGGUGCAAGAAUCGGAAUUACUGGGCGUGCGCGCAGGCGGUUCGGAAAAGAAAGAUGUGAAAUCCCAGAGCUUAACUUUGGAACUGCAUUUUUUUAACUACCGAGCUAGAGUGUGUCAGAGGGAGGUGGAAUUCCGCGUGUAGCAGUGAAAUGCGUAGAUAUGCGGAGGAACACCGAUGGCGAAGGCAGCCUCCCGAUAACACUGACGCUCAUGCACGAAAGCGUGGGGAGCAAACAGGAUUAGAUGGUCUGGUAGUCCACGCCCUAAAACGAUGUCAACUUAGCUGUUGGGGCCUUUCGCCCUGGUAGCGCAGCUAAUUGCGAAGUUGACCGCCCGGGGAGUACGGUCGCAAGAUUAAAACCCAAAGGUCUGACGGGGACCCGCGCAAGCGGUGGAUGAUGUGGAUUAAUUCGAUGCAACGGAAAACCCACUCACCCUUGACAUGUCUGGAAUCCCGAAGAGAUUUUGGGAGCGUUUUCGCAAGAGGAACCGGAACACAGGUGCUGCAUGGCUGUCGUCAGCUCGUGUCGUGAGAUGUUGUCAAGUCCCAACGAGCGGCAACCCUUGUCAUUAGUUGCUACGAAAGGGCACUUUAAUGACUACCGGUGACAAAACUGGAGGAAGGUGGGGAUGACGUCAAGUCCUCAUGGCCCUUAUGGGUAGGGCUUCACACGUCAUACAAUGGUCGGGACAGAGGGUCGCCAACCCGCGAGGGGGAGCCGUAAUCCUAGAAACCCGAUCGUAGUCCGGAUCGCAGUCUGCAACUCGACUGCGUGAAGUCGGAAUCGCUAGUAAUCGCGGAUCAGCAUGUCGCGGUGAAUACGUUCCCGGGUCUUGUGUACACACCGCCCGUCACACCAUGGGAGUGGGUUUUACCAGAAGUAGUUAGCCUAACCGUAAGGAGGGCGAUUACCACGGUAGGAUUCAUGACUGGGGUGAAGUCGUAACAAGGUAAC